CUGCAUUGUUUGGAAGGGCAUUGUUUGGUGGGCAGAAAUUGGUGGCUGUGAUCACAAUGGAGCCAGGCAGGCACCAUUUUCCGUCAUUUACGCACUUAAUCUCAUAGCAAGAGCCACAGCUCAACCCAUUGUUGAACAGAGCUGUGCUCAAAGCUGCUGUGUUCGUCCCAUACCCCUCGCUGUACAAGUUUCCAUACCCACAAGCACCGCCUACAAAAUCACCAAAGAAAGUGAAACAAAGAAAAAACCAGUCAAUCGGCUCUUUUUAAGAUGAGCCAUAGGAGAAACAAAAAGGAAGAAAGCCUUUUCACUACUG
rnacentral:lncRNA from 1 species